GACGAACGCUGGCGGCGUGCUUAACACAUGCAAGUCGAACGGAAAGGCCCUGCUUGCAGGGUACUCGAGUGGCGAACGGGUGAGUAACACGUGGGUGAUCUGCCCUGCACUUCGGGAUAAGCUUGGGAAACUGGGUCUAAUACCGGAUAGGACCGCACUUUAGUGUGUGUGGUGGAAAGUUUUUUCGGUGUAGGAUGAGCUCGCGGCCUAUCAGCUUGUUGGUGGGGUAAUGGCCUACCAAGGCGGCGACGGGUAGCCGGCCUGAGAGGGUGUACGGCCACAUUGGGACUGAGAUACGGCCCAGACUCCCACGGGAGGCAGCAGUGGGGAAUAUUGCACAAUGGGCGCAAGCCUGAUGCAGCGACGCCGCGUGGGGGAUGAAGGCCUUCGGGUUGUAAACUCCUUUCGCUAGGGACGAAGCUUUUUGUGACGGUACCUAGAUAAGAAGCACCGGCUAACUACGUG
rnacentral:rRNA from 1 species